UCGCUUUUGUCCCUCACUGUAGAUCUCUCUGUUGAUCGAGAAUCUCUUCUUUUUAUUUUUUACAUCCCUUUCCUGUAAGUAUAUACAUUAAAUAUGUAAAACAGUAUUGGGUCAGUAAAUUUUUGUUUCAAGAUAAUGAUAAUAAUAGUGGAUAAUGUAAUGCAAUAAUAGAUUACCUGAAGCUGUGGAACGCGUAAUCUAGUAGUGGUGAGGAGGAGGAGGAGGAGGAGAUGAAUAGUAGUAGUGGGGAGGUGGCUUGUGGACUGGUGGUGGUGGUGGUGGAGACUUAUAUUUGUAAACUGGAGGUGGUGGUGGAGGUGACUUGUACUUAUAGGGUGGUGGUGGAGGAGACUUAUACUUGUAUGGCUUCUUGGGUGGUGGAGGAGGAGA
rnacentral:lncRNA from 1 species